rnacentral:pre_miRNA from 1 species
AUGUAGUGUGACAUGCCUGUUUGGUGAUAAACUCUGAUUUUUAUUUAUUAUUUAAUUCGUUUUCGGGAACGGGGUGUUACAUCCAUA